rnacentral:rRNA from 1 species
UUCCAGACUCCUACGGGAGGCAGCAGUGGGGAAUAUUGGGCAAUGGGCGCAAGCCUGACCCAGCAACGCCGCGUGAAGGAAGAAGGCUUUCGGGUUGUAAACUUCUUUUAAGAGGGAAGAGUAGAAGACGGUACCUCUUGAAUAAGCCACGGCUAACUACGUGCCAGCAGCCGCGGUAAUACGUAGGGGGCAAGCGUUAUCCGGAUUUACUGGGUGUAAAGGGAGCGUAGACGGAAAGGCAAGUCAGAAGUGAAAACCCAAGGCUCAACCAUGGGACUGCUUUUGAAACUGUCAAACUAGAGUACGGGAGAGGUAAGAGGAAUUCCUAGUGUAGCGGUGAAAUGCGUAGAUAUUAGGAGGAACACCAGUGGCGAAGGCGUCUUACUGGACUGUAAAUGACGCUGAGGCUCGAAAGCGUGGGGAGCAAACAGGAUUAGAUACCCUCGUA